AGCACCCAAACAACAUGACGGACAAUGUGCGCUUGAAGCUAUGCUGCAGCUGAUUUAUUCAACGUAUCCACAGACGCUUGGAGCAUUCAGAGUAACAGCAAGAUCUCGCGUUGCGCCAGACCUCCUUGGACAAUGUUGUAACUCUAUGCGGGUGCGACAUGCUGGCACAAGGCAGCCAACCAGGCAACUCCUGCUGAACAGCGUUAUGAGCUUCGUCAGUGGUGUAUACCAGGCAUCGCACUAGGAUCUGGAACGCUUACCAUCUGGAAUGCGGCGCCCUCAAAGCUUACAAGAUAUGAGAGCUCACAUUAGCAUGAAGUAUGUACCAACGCAAGCACAAACUCGAAAACGUGUAGCGUGCUGGGCUUCACGGAAAGAGAUUUCGAAUCGGCAAAGCACUCAUAGACGUUCCCUUGCAUCUCUUUUUUGUGCUUCCUCUUCACCAAAAUCUGUCGCAGCGCGCUAAGGUAGAGAGGUUUCUGAAUUUUCAGUCGAGCGCACAAUCUUUCCCAUGUCGCCAAGAUUACAGAAACAUUAAAGAAAUUUGCGGAAAACUCUGGAA